rnacentral:lncRNA from 1 species
GACGUUAUUCAUAUUCAAAAAUUACUUUUAAAUUCAAAAUAAGACCGUGAGAGCCAAUCAUUCUGGUUUAACAGCAUGGUCAGAGUCAAUAAAACGAGAGCGUGAGACUAAGUCUUUUUAUAAAUAAUUUCUACUGUAGAAUAUUUUGACCAAUAAGAUUACACUAAUUAUCUAUCGAAUCUCCGAAGUUUGAUAUGUUACAUACUGAUAUCCCUUUAUCAAAUAUCUUUAUUAAUAUUAUGUUU